AAUGAACGCUGGCGGCAUGCCUAACACAUGCAAGUCGAACGAGACCUCCGGGAGUAGUGGCGCAUGGGUGUGUCACGCGUCGGAACCUUCCCUUAUGUUUGGAAUACCUCUCCGACAGGGGUGCUAAUACCGGAUAAUGUCUUCUAACCAAAGAUAUAUCGACCUUGGAGGGGCACGCGUUGGAUUAGCUUGUUGGUAGGGUAAAAGCCUACCAAGGCGACGAUCCAUAGCUGGGUAGAGAGGCAGGGCAGCCACACUUGGGGUGGGAAACGGCCGAGAAUCCUACGGGAGGCGGCAGUGGGGGAUAUUGGAAAAUGGGCGAAAGGCUGAAGCAGCUAGGCCGGGUGAGUGAUGAAGUUCUGAAAGAAGUAAAGCUCUUUUACCCGGGAUGAUAAUGACAGUACCGGAAGAAUAAGCACCGGCUAACUCCGUG
rnacentral:rRNA from 1 species